UCUAUACAAGUACUUCUGCCAAAACGCACCAGGAGCCAGCCGAAUUUCACCAGAGGAUCAAUAAAAUAAGGAAUCAGUCUCUGGUAGAAAGAACUACUGUGAUAUGUGGAUGUGCACCUAGCUUUCCAGAAACCUCUGCACUGCUCACUUCCCCACAACAAAUCACAGGAUUUUGCCAUACUAUAUUCAGUCUUGAGAGUUAAAGCAGAAUUAUUGCCUUUGC
rnacentral:lncRNA from 1 species